rnacentral:rRNA from 1 species
UACGGAAGGCAGCAGGGGGAAUAUUGCACAAUGGGCGAAAGCCUGAUGCAGCUAUGCCGCGUGUAUGAAGAAGGCCUUAGGGUUGUAAAGUACUUUCAUCGGGGAGGAAAAAACAAAACUAAUAAUUUUAUUUCUUGACGUUACCCGAAAAAGAAGCACCGGCUAACUCCGUGCCAGCAGCCGCGGUAAUACGGAGGGUGCUAGCGUUAAUCAGAAUUACUGGGCGUAAAGAGCACGUAGGUGGUUUUUUAAAGUCAGAUGUGAAAUCCCUGGGCUUAACCUAGGAACUGCAUUUUGAAACUGAAAUACUAGAGUAUCGUAGAGGGAGGUAGAAUUCUAGGUGUAGCGGUGAAAUGCGUAGAUAUCUGGAGGAAUACCUGUGGCGAAAGCGGCCUCCUAAACGAAUACUGACACUGAGGUGCGAAAGCGUGGGGAGCAAACAGGGAUUAGAUACC